AAAGACAGUUUGAAAUGUAGCCUACGCGUUUUGUGCUCUUGUAGGAAGCAGAACCUCCCAAUUGCUCACCUAUACUUUUCUAUAACUGGGCUAAUAACUCGCUAACUAGCAAAGAAUAUCAACAAAUGUGAACACCGCGGCUCUGAUCUGAAUUGAUCGCUCAUGGGCUACCCCUGCCAGUGGAAUUCUACUCCAUUGCGCUCUGCCUCUGCCUACAAGAAGAUAAGACUCAAUCUUGCAAAGUUAGAUUUGUUUUGGUUUGUUGCAUUGAAAAUGGGCUGAUAUAAUGUUGAUUCGAUCACAGAAAAAAACGUUGAUCUAUAUAGUGCACACUAAUGGGGUGAUCUCAGGGAAGUUCAAUCACUUGCUUUUCUGUGCAGCCUGGCAGUUCUUCUGUGUGGCAGUCCUGGAGAAGGUGCGCGGCCACGCACACGGCAGUUUAAAUGGGACAUUGCACCCAAUCCAGGGACCUGGUAGUCUGCCUGAAACCAAACUCAGUGUCUUUCUGACUUCCGAGUCUGGAAAGCCUGUUUUGAUAUUGUCGGCAAGACCUGUCGAUAAUGAAGGGGGCUGUGUUUUUUGACUCAUUGGUUCUCCUACUCAAACACCAACAGGGACAGCGCAGCCCCCUUCCAAUACAACUGUUGUAUUUUCAAAUCUAAACAACAAGAGGUCUCAACCCCCCAGGGGAAAAAACAAUCCAAGCUCAACAUUUUUUUGUGCUAAUAUUGCACCAACAAACGGCCUCCUGUCCAGACCAGUGUGUCACGUCUCUCCCUCGCUGUGUACCACAUUAGUCGCGGGCUAGGGACCUGGUACUUUGGGACAUUAUCCAAAGCUAACUCCCAACCAUCCAUCCAUCUAUCUAUCUAUACCCAGCACCACCUGUCAAAACAUCCGGGUGUUACCUGCCUGCUGUGGAGGAUCAUCUGUGUAAACACCACUUAGAGAAAGAGGCACACAGAAAGACACGUACACCGAGAAACACACAAACCAUUACCACACACAGCAGUCUACCCUCUGACCUGAACUGAGGUCCUCCUUCUUACAAACUCUGAGCAGCUGUAAAACCUUAAUCUAAACACCGUCUGUGUGUAUGAGUAAUCCGACUGUGUGUGUGUUUGUGUGUGUGACUGAAUGUGCAACAAGAUCCCACUGUUUUACCAAUUUGACUUCAGAUUGACGUUUGUUCCCAUUUCUCCUAACAUAACAUUUAUGUAUCCAAACGUCCUUAACAGUGGUUAAAUUUGGGAUAGGGUUACAGGUACAACAGAAACAAUGACAGUUAAAUUAAGCAUUCAUUCCAAACGGUUAGAUUAGGGUUGGCACUGGGAUUGAACACACGACCCUUGGAGCCAGAGCUCGCGGUUUACGCCCGUCCACAACGCCUGAGCAAAUAACAAGCAUACUUGAUGGUAACGUUGCCCCUAGUGGAAGGUUUUUAAGCCCUUUCCUGGCUACCUGGACGGACGUCAAAUUUCGCCUUGGAUCUUGGUUGGUAUGUAUGCAUGCAGGUCUGCUCGAGUUACAGUGUGGCAGCCAUAGUAUGGAGCAUCCACUGUCCUUCUGUUUGGCAGAGUACACACUGUGAAUACUCCACUGAGUGCAUGUUGGGGGGAAGGGGGUCUAAUUUGAGAUUCCAUACCCUAGGGAAGAAGGCUAGGGUGCAUUAGAUGACAAAGUAUUUACCCUUGCUGUGACUGAAUUCAACUAAAUUAAACAUUAAAAGGGGUUAGAAAGGGAGGGAUAUUGCAUUAUUAUUACUACAGUUCUGGACAUCAGGUAGGACUGACUGAGCUGACUCACAGGACACACUGACUGUUAUGAAGAUGCUUAGAGGUGAUCCUGCAUGUAGGCUGGAGAAGCAUUGCGGGACGGGGCAUUUGUUCAUAUGAGAGACCCAGAUCUGGCUCCCAUCUCCCUAUAACUCCAGUCUCUUUAUCUCUCCCUCCCUCUCUUUUCUCUCUCCCCGAUAUGUCUAUCUUUUCCUCCCUCCUUCUCUCUUUCUCUCUCUUACCGGUCUCUAUUUAUCUCUCAUUUAUCCACCCCUGCAGGCUUUUCUCUAUAAUAAAGGAGAGGAAGUCUUAAGAGAGAACGCUGAGAGAAGGAAUUCUGAUGACAAAGUCUCCAUGGAUUCGUUUUGGCGCUCCGGAACCGCUCGAGUGCAUAAGAAGGGGUUUAAUCGAGUGCUAAUUGGGGGUUUGGGUGUAAGUGGAGGCGCUCUCAUCUUACCUUCCCAUCCAGCUUUCCAGCCUGGAUGGGACGUCCAUCUGGAACCUCGGCGUUCCCACAGGAAAACUACAGAGCAGAUAGCGCUAGACUCAUCAUGCUAGCCUCUCCCAGCCAAUCCCUAACUAACCACCUCCAUCUGUCCAACACAUCACUGAAGAGAGCCUCAGUCACAUGUUAACCUCACACCUGUGUGUGUGUGUGUGUGUGUGUGUGUGUGUGUGUGUGUGUGUGUGUGUGUGUGUGUGUGUGUGUGUGUGUGUGUGUGUGUGUGUGUGUGUGUGUGUGUGUGUGUGCAGUGAUGCAGUGGUAAUAAAAUAGGUGGGUAAAACUCUGAUCGUCGGUCGUCGUGAAAAAAGUAACACUCCUUAUACGUUCACUGCAUUUUCCAGCAAAAAGUGGGUAAACUGCAUUCAGUUGCGUUUACCCUCCACUGCGUGUGGGUGUGUGUGAGCUGUGGUUCCAUUGAUCGGUAGUAGUAUCAUUUUUAAGCCUGUUUUCCUCCUAUUAACUUUGUCUAUAUUUCCAUAGUGUAAACUCUGACAACACACACAUCUGCUCCUCCACAUGGACACACCCCCCUCCUAAGGUUGCGACCCUGCAUGUCAGUACCUGGGCUCACGCCACGCAGUGUCUUUAACCCCUAACCUCUCAACCCGUUAACCCAUCAGAAACCCGACACCCUGCGUGUCACAAGUCUUGAUUACAGGCUCUCUGGGAUAGAGACAAGAAGAGGAGAAGAUCUGACCACUGUACCUCUGAGGUUUCACAUGACAUCAUCCCUCCACUCCAGUCUCCCUGAGACCCCGUCCCAUUUCAGUGUCUGCAGGUCUGAAAACAUUGGUGCAUGCAGUGUGUUGCGUGGCCUACCCUGCUGUCCUCCUGGGGGUCCCACUCUGGGGAGAAGGUUUGGAGGGGUUGUCCGUGGGAGCAGUUGGAGAACUGGAACAGGCUGGAGAACGUACGGCGGUUCUCUACGGUGUCUGGGAAGAUGGCAUCCUGGAAGUUGACCCCGUGGGGCAGGAUGUUGUAGUUCUCAUCCAUCCUGUAGGAGGUUCCCGGUCACCAGGUCAUCCUGACUCACCGGGUCAUCCUGACUCACCGGGUCAUCCUGACUCACCGGGUCAUCCUGACUCACCAGGUCAUCCUGACUCACCGGAGGAAGAAGAUAUAGGAGUAGUUCUCCAUCACGGUGUGAGACUGGCAUGACAGGUACCCCAGCCCUGUCAGGUUGAGGCGCGAGCCCGCCGGCACCUCCAGCAUGCUGCCCCACGCCUGGUCGCACAUGAGCUCCACCUCUGCGGAGUAGAGCAACCCUUCCUCUGCGCCCUCAUAACCAUACAGAGAGUUGUAGAUGCCCUCUGCCCCGCCAUACUCCUCCCGGUGAAUUGCCAGCACCUUGGCAUACACAAUGAUCUCCGCCAGUUCCGCACGGCAGCUCUCACUCAGUGGACGCCACUCGGUGGGCAGUUGGCACCCGUACGCAACGCUCGCCAUGUAGCCAAGAGUGAGAAGCAAGGGGGCAAAGGUCGUCAUGUCUGGUGUGCACAUAAUUCCUGUCUUUCACUUUGGGUACUCCUGUUAUUCGUUUCUCCUCUCUGGCACAAAUCCGAUUUUAAAGAAAUAAGUAAAUAAAUCCAACUUUUUUUUUUUUUUUUUUACAAUAAAGUUCCUUUAUAUCCAGUGAUAGGGGCAUAUAAUAACGGCACUGUGAUCGUACAGUUGAAUUAUAGUCCUUUAAAUUUAACUGGUUCCAGUUAAAAGUUGGAUGAAAACUAUUUGACAGAUCACACACAGAGAGAAACAGACCUGCUCCCGGCGUUUAAUCUGAGUCCAUUUGAGCAUUGGAGUCCGUUUGUCAUUCCGUUAAAGACAGAGAGCUUCAAGUAUAUCCAGACAGAUAAUCCAAUGUUAUGACCCAGUGUUUAAGUGCGCAUUUUUUGAGCCCGAUGCAGCGCAAGUCCAGUCCCAUUCAAAGACAUUCCAGAAGGCUCCUCAAAGCACCUUCAUUCUCAAAGAUCUCUCCGACCAAUGAGACUGCACCAAAGUUUACACAGCCAAUCAUUGAACCGCCCCUGUUUUACUACAAAAACGUUUUAAUGGGCUUAUUCCAGAAAUAUUUUAAACGGUUUGGAGGAAUGCAGGCAUGCGCGCUGGUGUGCGUAACGCUCUCAUUCUGUUACUUUUGUUGUUGUUGCUUGUUUAUUAUUUUUGACACGUCAAGCAUUGUGUGCUUUCUUAGGCAAAUCAAAUGAAUGUAGUCUUGUCUAUGUUGUGCAUUAAAUUCUUUGUCAAUGAACAGUAGGCAUGCUUGCUUGUCCAAAUAUGUGUAAGCAUUUAUUAGACCGAUAUGUGAUUGUUAAUAAAUAGCCAAUGACAUAAUGUAGGCCUACUUUUUAAUAUCAUAUGGCGAU